UCACUUAUUCCCCAGCCACAAAAAUUUUCCCUGUUGAAUUCCUGUACCUCAAGCUGCCUGUUAAAUGCCAGGUGGUGAUGAUGAUGAUGAUGCCUUAACCUACUCAUAUUCAUUCACUCUAGACAACUCAACCACUCCUGCUUGAAAGUGGGACCAUGAGAUCAGGUUUAUGAAGAACAUUAAGAUGAAAAGGCAGGGUCUUUGCCUUAUGUGGAAGAAGCACAAGCUUUCUGUGUCAUUUAACAGCUGUUUUGGCAGGCAGAAAAUCAACAAGUAUAGCUUUUGGCAGCAUGGAGUUGGGAGAACACAGCUGGUAAUAUUCUCCAAAUACAUUCAAAUUCAGUUAACAAAACGUUUGGGAAACAAUCUACCAAGAUGUUCCUCUGCAUGAGGUCCACGAUUCUGCAGUGCUCCAGUGUCUUUAUGUGAGCUUGUACAGGAGAACUUCCUAUUGGAUUUUACCCAAGAUGUUGGAUAAAAGAGCACCAUCUGCAAACACUCAAAUUAGAAGUCAACUCUCUUUCUCUACUUCUCACGUCAGAGUAAUAUUGAUUGGAUCCUAAUUUGCCUUCCCAAAAUGGGACUUCUUUCCCUUCACCUCCAUCCCUGUUCCAGAUGAUUGGGGGACUCUCUGGAACAGCAAGAAGGAGAAAUCAUCAAACCGUAGGGAUUCUUUCUACUCAUGCAAGACUACCUUUGGAACAAAGCCUCUGAAAAUAAUGGUGAUGCGUUCGUUUUUUUUAUCUGUAGUGUUGAUUUAAAGCAAAUUUUGCAUACACUGUCCAGAUGUAACAACCACUAAAGUAUUCAGAUUUCCUGAUUAGUUUGCGCUUUUAGACAAUGCUAGCUCUUCUAGAAAUUUUAUCCAAAAAUAUUUUCAAAAUAACAGCACUGAGUUUUUAUUUCUUUUACAUUCUAAUAACAGAAUUUACAUUGCCAUGUGACUCUUUGUCUUUUAGCUUCUGUACCACAGUAGCAUACCAAAAUUAUAUUCACUACCAGAGUGCAA